UACGGAGGGGGCUAGCGUUAUUCGGAAUUAUUGGGCGUAAAGGGCGUGUAGGCGGCUUCGUAAGUCUUGUGUGAAAGCCCUCGGCUCAACCGAGGAAUUGCACGAGAAACUGCGUGGCUCGAGUCCGGGAGAGGAUAGUGGAAUUCCCAGUGUAGCGGUGAAAUGCGUAGAUAUUGGGAGGAACACCGGUGGCGAAGGCGGCUAUCUGGACCGGUACUGACGCUGAGUGAGCGAAAGCCAGGGGAGCAAACGGG
rnacentral:rRNA from 1 species